CACAUAAUAUGUUAUAGGGAAUUGUUUUUUAUUAAGUUUCGGUUCUUUAGUAGUUUAGGAGUUGUAUAAUUUACGUAAAUAUACAAGGUAUCAAACGAUACCACCGUGCAAAAAAGUAUAUAAUUAUGAAUAAUUUACAAGAUGAAGAAAUUGAAUGUUUCUUGGAUUUUGAUAUACCCUCCUGCUCAGAAACUUGCAUAGAAGUAUCAUUUGAUGCCGGGGGUUGUUACCCUCGGUAACAAAGUAGGUAAAUUUUGGUUACAUCAGCAUUUAAGACAAAAACAAUGCAUUUUACUGUAACGACUUCUUAAAUAAUUUUUAACACUCAAUGGUCCA